rnacentral:rRNA from 1 species
CCUACGGGUGGCAGCAGUGGGGGAUAUUGCACAAUGGGGGAAACCCUGAUGCAGCGACGCCGCGUGGGUGAAGAAGCGCCUCGGCGCGUAAAGCCCUGUCAGCAGGGAAGAAAGUGACGGUGCCUGAAGAAGAAGCCCCGGCUAACUACGUGCCAGCAGCCGCGGUAAUACGUAGGGGGCAAGCGUUAUCCGGAUUUACUGGGUGUAAAGGGGGCGCAGACGGCGAUGCAAGCCAGGAGUGAAAGCCCGGGGCCCAACCCCGGGACUGCUCUGGGAACUGCGUGGCUAGAGUGCAGGAGGGGCAAGCGGAAUUCCUGGUGUAGCGGUGAAAUGCGUAGAUAUCAGGAGGAACACCGGUGGCGAAGGCGGCCUGCUGGACUGCAACUGACGUUGAGGCCCGAAAGCGUGGGGAGCAAACAGGAUUAGAUACCCUUGUAGUC